GACCAGACUCCUACGGGAGGCAGCAGUGGGGAAUAUUGCACAAUGGGGGAAACCCUGAUGCAGCGACGCCGCGUGAGUGAAGAAGUAUUUCGGUAUGUAAAGCUCUAUCAGCAGGAAAGAAAAUGACGGUACCUGACUAAGAAGCCCCGGCUAACUACGUGCCAGCAGCCGCGGUAAUACGUAGGGGGCAAGCGUUAUCCGGAUUUACUGGGUGUAAAGGGGGCGCAGACGGCAGCGCAAGCCAGGAGUGAAAGCCCGGGGCCCAACCCCGGGACUGCUCUUGGAACUGCGCGGCUGGAGUGCAGGAGGGGCAGGCGGAAUUCCUGGUGUAGCGGUGAAAUGCGUAGAUAUCAGGAGGAACACCGGUGGCGAAGGCGGCCUGCUGGACGAUGACUGACGCUGAGGCUCGAAAGCGUAGGGAGCAAACAGGAUUAGAUACCCCGGUAC
rnacentral:rRNA from 1 species